AUGGGCAAAUAGACAAAGUCUUUGUAACUGAAAACAUGGCAGAACUUCUCUUCUCUGAAACAGUUGAUAACAGAAAUGAUUUCCUAGACAUGGACAGCCCUUCAACAAGUACAUCUGAUGUUUUUGAUCCAGAUAACAGAAAAGAAGAAUUGUACCCUCCAUGUACCAGCAGAGCAGUG